AACGAACGCUGGCGGCAGGCUUAACACAUGCAAGUCGAGCGCCCCGCAAGGGGAGCGGCAGACGGGUGAGUAACGCGUGGGAAUCUACCCAUCUCUACGGAAUAACGCAUGGAAACGCGGGCUAAUAACGUAUACGUCCUUCGGGAGAAAGAUUUAUCGGAGGUGGAUGAGCCCGCGUUGGAUUAGCGAGUUGGUGGGGUAAAGGGCUACCAAGGCGACGAUCCAUAGCAGGUCUGAGAGGAUGAUCAGCCACACUGGGACUGAGACACGGCCCAGACUCCUACGGGAGGCAGCAGUGGGGAAUAUUGGACAAUGGGCGCAAGCCUGAUCCAGCCAUGCCGCGUGAGUGAUGAAGGCCCUAGGGUUGUAAAGCUCUUUCACCGGUGAAGAUAAUGACGGUAACUGGAGAAGAAGCCCCGGCUAACUUCGUGCCAGCCGCCGCCGUAACAC
rnacentral:rRNA from 1 species